rnacentral:lncRNA from 1 species
GGUGCUUUACUCUCCCUGUAAUAACAGGUAACUUCAGUUUUAGAAUACAUUUCAUAUACUAUUGAUUUUGGACGUUCUAAAAUACCUCACGUACUGUUUUAACAUAGUGUUAGCUAAUGCUAAUAAGAAAUACUAAGCUAACGUCAACCAAGACAGAGGGAACAGCCCAGUUAUCUCAGCAACAACUUAACAAACAGAGAAGUUACAUGAAGGUUUGAAUGAAGUUGUCACACCUCAUCAAAGCCUCGUCGUCCCUGGAGGCUUCGACUCCCUUAGCGCUGGCUGCAGGCGUGCUAACGUUAGCUGCCGCUCUCAGGCCACAAACAUGUAUUUUAUGUUUGACCAGGUGUUUCUCAGGUUAGACCUGUUGCCCUGACAGCUUUGCAUUUCGCGUUACAAACAUUGUGUGUGUUUGUGUGUGUGUAGAGCCUGUGCAUUGAGAACGCCUGCAUCGCUGCUCAUGAUAAGGCAGGACGCUACGCCGCGAUGUUCACCGUGGACAAAGUCCUAACCCCACCCAUGGGCACCAUCAUGGACGUCCUGAAGGCAGACGACCGCUUCAGCCUGCUGGUCGGAGCCGUGCAGACUGCCGGGAUGACGGAACUGCUGAACCAGCAGUUGGCGCUCACCUUCUUCGCUCC